rnacentral:lncRNA from 10 species
CGGCCUCCCAAAGUGCUGGGAUUACAGGCAUGAGCCACCUCACCUGGCCAUCCUUUCUAAUCCUAGAGUGAAUUACUUGGGGGCCAAACAGAUAGAAGAUUCCCAAGGGCAGGUGGAUGUGGAGUUGUGUCAUUUGGAAAGCCCAUCUGACUGAUGGAGGGCAAGAGCUGGAUCGAGCUGGAGCUGGAAGUCUUGGUACUGGGAAGUAAUCCACAUGCUCUUGGCAACGACCAAGACUUUCUUAGAGUCUUAGUUUGGAGACAAUGCAAGAAGCUGGAAAAAGACCAUGCUAAAUUAUUGAAAGGUUUAAAAACAGUUCUUAGGAAAGAGUAAGGGUGUUGAUGUUAUUUAAACCAGAGAGAAACCCAAGGAAAGACAUAAAAUAAUAUUCAAGUAUAUAUGUGUUCAUUAGUCAGUAUUUUUCAAUAGAUUAUGAAAUGCAUUUAGUUGGUCAGGACCAUUUAAAAGUAAAUAUAGGCUGGGCACGGUGGCUCACGCCUGUAAUCCCAGCACUUUGGGAGGCCAAGGCAGGCGAUCACCUGAGGUCAGAAGUUUAAGACCAGCCUGGCCAACGUGGUGAAACCCCGUCUCUGCUAAAAAUACAAAAAUUAGCCAGGCGUGGUUGCACGCACCUGUAGUCCCAGCUACUCGGGAGGCUGAGGCAGGAGAAUUGCUCAAACCUGGGAGGCAGAGGUUGCAGUGAGCCGAGAUUGU